UACGUAGGGGGCAAGCGUUGUCCGGAUUUAUUGGGCGUAAAGAGCGUGUAGGCGGUCAUGUAGGUCCGUUGUGAAAACUCGAGGCUCAACCUCGAGACGCCGAUGGAAACCAUCUGGCUAGAGUCCGGAAGAGGAGAGUGGAAUUCCUGGUGUAGCGGUGAAAUGCGCAGAUAUCAGGAAGAACACCCGUGGCUAAGGCGGCUCUCUAGUACGGUACUGACGCUGAGACGCGAAAGCGUGGGGAGCGAACAGG
rnacentral:rRNA from 1 species